AUUGGUAUGAACUAGUCUCGCUGAUCCCUCCCUCUUGACGAACUGUGAUGCCAUUAAUUUGGUGUCGCAGGGAAUCAGGACUGUUACUUUGAAAAAAUUAGAGUGUUUAAAGCAGGCUUUCGCUUGAAUACAUUAGCAUGGAAUAAUGAAAUAGGACGUUUGAUCCUAUUUUGUUGGUUUCUAGGAUUGACGUAAUGGUUAAUAGGGAUAGUUGGGGGCAUUAGUAUUCAAUUGUCAGAGGUAAAAUUCUUGGAUUUAUUGAAGACUAACUACUGCGAAAGCAUUUGCCAAGGAUGUUUUCAUUAAUCAAGAACGAAAGUUAGGGGAUCGAAGACGAUCAGAUACCGUCGUAGUCUUAACCAUAAACUAUGCUGACUAGGGAUCGGAUGAUGUUAAUUUUUUAAUGACUCAUUCGGCGCCUUACG
rnacentral:rRNA from 1 species